rnacentral:misc_RNA from 1 species
GUAACCCCAAACAUAUCUGUUCUAAAAGGGCAAUCUGAAAACAAGGAACAACAACACGACAAGAACCAACAAGGGAAAAUUUGACAAGUGGUUCAAGGGAAGUAACUCCAUUUGUUGUAUUCUCCAAUGACAGCCAACCACGUGUGGAGUUGAGCAUUACGUGUCUAGUUUUCCAGCAUGGCGGCGUUCGUAAAGGAGUUGCUGACUUGGGGUGCUUCACUUUUGUUUUUCUGCGGAUUUAUCAAACAUGUUUUAUCAAGAGAGAUGGACUAUGAGUUUGUGACAUGUGGCUCGACUAUGAAGCUGCUCAACACCUACUCCAGUGUCCGCCUGCACUCACAUGACGUGAAAUAUGGCUCGGGAAGUGGACAGCAGUCGGUGACUGGUGUCGACUCAUCUGAUGAUCACAACAGCUACUGGCAGAUCCGGGGCAAGACCGGAGCUACGUGUAUGCGAGGGAGUCCGGUGAAAUGUGGCCAGACAAUCCGUCUGAUGCACUUAUCAACAAAACGUAAUUUACACAGUCAUCACUUCCAGUCUCCUCUGUCUCACAACCUGGAGGUCAGUGCCUUUGGGGAGGAAGGAGAGGGCGAUGAAGGUGACAACUGGGUGAUUGUGUGCAGCACCAAGCACUGGAGCAGGAGAGACAAAAUCAGGAUCAAGAAUGUCGUCACAGAGCAUUACUUACAUGUGAGCGGUGACAGCUAUGGCCGUCCGAUCCACGGACAGCGCGAGGUCAGCGGCUACCCCACACCAUCCGAGAUGAACUACUGGAUAGUCAAUGAGGGCAUCUUUAUCAAGCCGGCCAAUGAUCCCAACACAGGGAAACUCAUGCAUGAUCAUGAUGAGCUUUAAUACAACACCAUAUUAGGACAAAACUUUGUACAUUACCAUAUAACUAUAUUUGUUUAUCUACAAAUGUGUUGAUGAAUUAGACUCAUAUGUUUGUUGUUUUUUAUAUUUUGUAACCGUCUACAGAAAGUACCGAAAGUUUCUUGUUGAACGAAUACUUUGAAUUGAGCCACAAAACGUUCUGUCUUGUUUCCCAUUGUUGUGGAUUACCUCCCUUUGAUGGACAUGAUUGGCUUGUUUCUGUCCUGCAGUGAAUGUGUUGUCUGGAUUUGAUUUAUCAAUAUUUGUAUUUAUUUUUGAAACAAAUAUAAUAAGAUCCACACUGAGUGAUGUUUCUUGCACUUUAAAAAAAAUAAGGUGUUAUGAGAUGCAGGGUUAGAAAUUAAUUUUUAUUUUCACAAGUCCACAAGAAUCAUCUACAAAGUGGUUGUCCAAAAGGAAAUGUCAUCAGUCCAUUCUGAAGUGGAUUAUUCUCAGACUGGCAGAUUUAUGUCAGUUUUGAACAGUGGGUUAGUUAAAUUUCAUAUGUGAAUUUAUUUUGAGGUUUAGAAAGUUUGUAUUCAUAUCUUAAUCUAGUUCCAUCAAUCCUGCUGUUUGUGACACCGGAACUCUGACCUGUGGAUAUAUAGAGGUAAAGGGCAGAUAUAUGUACAUUGGACGAGUAUACCAAGGUUACAUUAACAGGGCAUUUUACUGAAAGAUUGGUAAGAAUGCAGUCAAAGUGUUGUCAGAGGUGCAGUUGCUUUUUUGAUAGCACAUGUUUUUAUAGAGAUAUAAUUUGUCUACAUUUAAUUCUGUGAUUGAGUAUAUUUGUCGUGAUACAUAUUCAUCUCAGUAUAAGGUAGAGAUACGAUAUAUGUUUAAAGGUCGCAAUGCAAUACAUGCCUUAUUUAUUAGUGAAUAUUUUGAUAAUAUACAGUUGAGUCUAAUUCAUUAAUACUUAAUCUAUUAACAAACAAAAUGUCAGAGGGCGUUGUUCCAUCAUCAUCAGAUUCAUUUGUUUUGUGUCCAUGAGUAUCUUUAUACUUUGUUUCUUUGAAAAGUGAUUGUCUCAAAAGUCAAUAGUACCACCUUGAGAGGAUGUAAUCUUUGUAUCUAUGCUAUUAUUUAAAAAAAGUGGGUAUACAACUUUUGACUGGGGUGUUAUGACUGAGGUGUAUACAUUAAGACCAGGGCCCACUUGCACAAAGCGAUCUUAGCGCUAAGAUGAUCGUAACUCCCAUACUUUAACAUAAGCUUACAAUAGUCCUAGCACUAAGAUUGCUUUGUGCAAGUGAGCCCUGUUCAGUAUCUAAUUUUACUCCCAGCUAUAGUGGAACAUACCGGGGUAAGUAGGAUUUCAGAAUUGGUAAUGUUAAUACAUAGAUGCCAUCCAUGGUAUAUUUUGAAACCUAUCAAGCGAAAGGGCUGAUAUUUCAGAAGCUUCUUUAUGUACUUUGCUAGUAAAUGUCACUAGUGACAUUGAUUUUAAAGUAUACUUUUCCAAUCGUAUGUUUUCAAGUUGAUAAUCCAGUUCACAGCAAAAUUAGAAUAUUUCAUCUUUGGCAAAAUAUUGGUUGGAAUUAGCAAGUCACAGAUGCAGCUCAUACAGGAGUCUAGUUAUCUGUUUUAUUUCAUUAGGUGGUUAACAAAACUGACCAAACUGAAUUAAAUUAGAGAGGCCUUAUUUUGUUCAGCUAUCUCUGUGUCGUCCCAGAAAGCUAGGGCACUACAACUGAAACGUGAAACUCAGUCUUGCCAAGUGUUGUUUUCAUCCAGUUUUAAAUGUAUGUUUAUUUGGAUGUUGAUUUCUGUUCUUUUCAACUACCUAUAUUGAAUUUUGGGGCGAAAACAUUGUAAACUAACCAACAAAAAGUAAAAGGCUCUUGAAGGUUCUUGGUGAUAACAAAUAUAUAUUUCUUGUUUUGUCUGCAAUGCAAAACUUGCACUGUGCAACAUAAAUUAUUUUGAAAUUUCACCUCAACAGAUUUGGCAUUUCAGAUGCCCAACACAAAUUAUAGAUUUUAGUACAUACAUGUAUACAAAAGGAUGAUCACUCAGUCAGUAUCUGUCAAUGUCAUCAAUCAUGAGAAUUCCUUAACUGUAUUAAAAAGACAAAGUGAUAUACUAGUAUGUAUGAAUUUGGGUGACAGAUUUUCAGUUGUUAGCGGAUUUUCCGCUGACUUUGUGAACAGGUCAAGCUUGGGUGAAUGCUGUGUGACACUGCAUGGUUGCCAUGGAUUUGUGGUGCAUGUGCUGGAUGUGAAUGUUAGGAUUGUUUGGAGGAAACCUUCCCUGUAUCAUCUGAUGUUGGUGCUUCUUAACCUCUUUUGUUUUCUGGUGUAUUUAUUUCAAGGUUACAACUGUAAAUAUAUCUAUGUAGUGAUCAUGGUGAUGAUUGUUCUUUUCAACUAAUAAUGUGUUGGUUGAAUGUAUUUGUGAGUAACAGAAUUGGGCAGAGGGUAGAAGUGGUACUACAAUCGAAGUGUUUUUCUGUAUAAAUCUAUUUAUCCUUGUUCGGGGCUGAUACAUCACAUGACACUGCCCUACUUUUGAAUAUUGUGUUUGAACUCAUUAAUUGUUAAAGUUGUGAGGAAUCUUUUCAGAAGGUCUGUUUUAAGAAAGAAUGAAGAUUUGAAUGAAACGGAAACAUGAUACUUCUAUUCACUGAACAUGGGAAUUCAUCGCCAAUAAAGGCCCCCACCAGACUGUGCAUGGGUACUCAAGCUUCAUCAUUAUAAGCAAGAUAAUCCUUUUUGGGGGGAAAAAACAUGAAAAACUUCAGAUCCUGGUUAGCAACCCUUUCCAUCUUAAAUCUACUUUAGAAAAGAGGUCCUCUGCCUGAAAAUCCUUUUCAACUACCGGUAAUUGCCUCUGGAUCAUUUGUGCAGUGGCCUGUAUAUUCAAAUUUAGGUAGACUGAUGAUCAUUCAUUAAUUUAACUCCAUCAUGAGUGAAGCUGUAUCUUGAUGUGCAGAGUUGCAUCCCUUGGCUGCCAGGAUCUGCUGGUCAUGAGGCAGACUUCAAGAAUCUGCCAUGUUGUGAUCCCUGGUCUGUCAGUUUGGGGGUUUCUUAGAUUGCCGGAGCGUUACACCCUGUGUCAUCUUGAGCUUCCUUCACACAUGCCUGGUAUUACAACCAUCGUUCAAACCCAACUUAAGAUGUAUACCUCAAGAAGUGAAUCAAACUGAAUCCUGGCUUCAUUCAUUUUAUUGUCCCUCAGAUCACCUGUUUUACCAUGUUAUGUGUUGAUAGGGAUUUAGUCUAUUUUGUUGUCAUUUACAUUUUCUGUUGUUGAGAAUGUUUGCUAUUGUACAUACAUGUGUACAUGACGAAGAUAAGCCUUGUUCAGGAUAUGUUGCUGAUGUUGUAACAACAUUCAGAGGUGUGCAAGAGUGAGUGAAAUAAAGUGUAAUUUAAA